GACGUAGGGGGCAAGCGUUGUCCGGAAUCAUUGGGCGUAAAGCGCUCGUAGGCGGACCUUUAAGUCGGUGAAGAAAGACCUGGGCUCAACUCAGGGAACGGCAUCGAUACUAUUGGUCUUGAGGUAAUUAGAGGAUGAUGGAAUUCCCGGUGUAGCGGUGAAAUGCGUAGAUAUCUGGAGGAACACCGGUGGCGAAGGCGGCAUCCUGGACCGACACUGACGCUGAGGAGCGAAAGCCAGGGGAGCAAACAGG
rnacentral:rRNA from 1 species